CUAUCACUACCAGCCACUACUACUGCCACUAUAUACAGUAUAUAGACCACCUGAUAGAACCCAGGUUUCAUCUCUCUAUCACUACUAGCCACUACUACUGCCACUAUAUAUAUAUAUAGACCACCUGAUAGAACCCAGGUCUCAUCUCUCUAUCACUACUAGCCACUACUACUGCCACUAUAUAUAUAUAUAUAGACCACCUGAUAGAACCCAGGUCUCAUCUCUCUAUCACUACUAGCCACUACUACUGCCACUAUAUAUAUAUAUAUAUAUAGACCACCUGAUAGAACCCAGGUCUCAUCUCUCUAUCACUACUAGCCACUACUACUGCCACUAUAUAUAUAUAUAUAUAUAGACCACCUGAUAGAACCCAGGUCUCAUCUCUCUAUCACUACUAGCCACUACUACUGCCACUAUA